GCCUUCGUAGUGUAGCGGGCAGUACGUUCGACGCGUAACCGAAAGGUUCGUGGUUCGAUUCCCGACGAAGGCG
rnacentral:tRNA from 1 species